CGUAUGCAACCUACCUUUUACUAGAGUAUAGCCCAGAGAAAUUUGGAUUAAUCCUCUAUAACAUCUUUUAAUUUCAUGAUUUUAAGAUUAAAGUUUUAACGGUAAAAGAUGGGCAUGCGUCCUAUUAGUUUGUAGGUGAGGUAACGGCUCACCUAGACUACGAUAGGUAGGGGCCCUGAGAGGGGGAUCCCCCACACUGGUACUGAGACACGGACCAGACUCCUACGGGAGGCAGCAGUAAGGAAUAUUGGACAAUGGACGAAAGUCUGAUCCAGCCAUGCCGCGUGCAGGAUGACAGCCCUACGGGUUGUAAACUGCUUUUAUACAGGAAGAAACACUCCGACGUGUCGGAGCUUGGCGGUACUGUAAGAAUAAGGAUCGGCUAACUCCGUGCCAGCAGCCGCGGUAAUACGGAGGAUCCAAGCGUUAUCCGGAAUCAUUGGGUUUAAAGGGUCCGCAGGCUGUUUUUUAAGUCAGAGGUGAAAUCCUACAGCUCAACUGUAGAACUGCCUUUGAUACUGGAAAACUUGGGUUAUUGUGAAGUGGUUAGAAUGUGUGGUGUAGCGGUGAAAUGCAUAGAUAUCACACAGAAUACCGAUUGCGAAGGCAGAUCACUAACAAUAUACUGACGCUCAUGGACGAAAGCGUGGGGAGCGAACAGGAUUAGAUACCCUGGUAGUCCACGCCGUAAACGAUGGAUACUAGCUGUUCGUCUAACAUUGGUUAGAUGAGUGGCUAAGCGAAAGUGAUAAUAUCCCAC
rnacentral:rRNA from 1 species